UAGGGAGCGAGCGUUAUCCGGAUUUAUUGGGUGUAAAGCGUGUGUAGGCGGUAAAUUAAGUCUAAGGUUUAAGCCCGGAGCUCAACUCCGGUUCGCCUUAGAAACUGAUUUUCUUGAGUAUGGUAGAGGCAAGUGGAAUUUCUAGUGUAGCGGUAAAAUGCGUAGAUAUUAGAAGGAACACCAGUGGCGAAGGCGACUUGCUGGGCCAAAACUGACGCUGAGACACGAAAGCGUGGGGAGCAAA
rnacentral:rRNA from 1 species